UUUAUCUUUUGCAGGCCUAUAUUGCUAUGUAGCCUAGGCCUAACUGAUUCAAAACAUAGCCUUAUCAGAUAAUAUGAUGGGUAGACCUGUAGCCUAGGCAAUGCCAACAAAAUAAGAGUUUUGAUGAAUAAUCGCCUAUAGUUUGACUAGUGUUUCAUUGCGCAAAAGAGCUGAAGCAUUCAGCUACUUGUGUGGUGUUUUGUUAAUUGUGUGUAAUAAACUAUAGGCUAGACCUGCUGCCUAGUCUAUGCCAAAAUAGCAGCAGAACACGGUCGGAUAACUCGAUGGGCGCACAGGUGUUGCUCGAGGCGAUGACGCGUGUGUGGAAUCUUCUUUAAAAAUGGCAACAGAAUUUGACAGUUGAGUCAACGUUACUACAGGAGGUGAGUGCAACAUUUUGACAGCCCUAUCUCAAGCUUUUUUAAUGUUGACGUUUGUCAGAAACUAUACCUUAAAUGAUACAUAUCCUAAAUGGAAACGAGACGUUUUAACCAUAACGUUAACCUCAUUAUAGGCUAUAGCAUACAACUAAAGGUUAGGUCAACGUGUCAUCGUUAGUGAACGUUAAUCUUAACUUUUUGUUUAACAUAACGUUAAUGUUAGAGCUUAGCCUUAUUUAGCCUACCGUUAGUUUGUUAAGUUAUAAGAUCGCAUUAUGCCUUGGCUUGUAUGCUAUGCUUAAACUGAAUGUUAGCCAACUAUUCUGUUUAUUUUACUCCUUCAGCACAGACUUUUCAACUUCCCGUGUUUCCAACUCUCCUGAAAUGAAAGCUAUCAUUAAUGGAGGAAGUCCUGACGUUCAUACUGCUGCACACAGAUUAGAAGCUAUAGGCUACAGGUCCUAGAUGCUAUUUGAUUCAAUUUCAAUGUGGUAUCCAGUAUCAUGACAUUUGUGCUGCUGCUGUAUCUAAGCACCCUUUCCUCCGGGAUCGCACAGGACCAGGAUAUGCAUGACAAAACUCAAUCCACUGUGAGGGAAACUGCACUUAUUUUUUUUUUUUUUUCUAUUCACACAGAUGCCUGCUACCCAGGAUGCAAACACUGUAAUUCGGGUAUGGUGUGUGUGUGUGUGUGUGCGUGUGUGUGUGUGUGCGUGAUGUUCACUGAUGAUCUUUUUACACUGACAGAUUGUAGAUGUUCUCGGUGAUGAAAGCUGAUCCAAAUCCAAUGACAAUGAGACAAAAAUGAAGGAGGAGUGUUGAAAAGUAAACCCUGAUCUAAAUACGAUUGAAAACAGAAUGAGGAGAACAAUCAGUGACAGAGUGGCAUUUAUUCAACGCCAGUCCACACAGGAAAUCCUUACCGAAUACCCAGCUUUACACCACAUUUGAACUCACCUGCAUAACAUUGACCUAAGUACCAAUCUGCACUAAAUCAGGCCUGUGAGGAAACAACCUACAUAUACAAAGGACUCUUUGCAGCAGAGCGGCCAUAUCUGUUUGGGGACAAUCCUGACAGGCUCAUACUUGUGGAUAAGAUAUCAAAGACACCCGCACCUACCCUAUGCAUGAGGCAACCCCUUUGAGGAAGACACCACCAUUACACUUUGCAUGGACGGACAAGACGUCAUAACACCAGAAGAUGUGUUGAUGGGCAUUGGAGCAUUGCUAGCAGUUCAUCAAUCAUUUAUUGACUAUUUCAUUUAGAUCAGGAAGUUAAAAUUGUGAUGUUGUUAAUAGCAUUGUUUAAUAGAUGUUUUCAUUCAUGCCUUCAUCUAUGUAGCCUGUGUAUUAUUUGUUUAUUUAUAUAUUUAUUUAUGUAUGUAUCUAUCUGUCCAUCCUUUCAUGUACAGUAUUCCUAAUAUUUUGCCAUUGACAUGCUUUGACACUUUUGAUUAAAUUCUUGCUUAAAUACA